rnacentral:sRNA from 1 species
UUGACAGCUCUGGAGACUGAAGUCCUCUCUUCACCGCCACAGCAGGCUGAGCCCAAGCAUCAUCAGUGCAAGUCUUCGUCACCAGUGUAUUGCUGCCUUGCAUGUGAAAGGCCAUAUUGUGGGGUGAAAGGGGGAGUUCAGUCUCCAAAGCCCACUUGGUCAUUUGGCCUAU